rnacentral:rRNA from 1 species
GACAGAGGAUGCAAGCGUUAUCCGGAAUGAUUGGGCGUAAAGCGUCUGUAGGUGGCUUUUUAAGUCCGCCGUCAAAUCCCAGGGCUCAACCCUGGACAGGCGGUGGAAACUACCAAGUGGAGUACGGUAGGGGCAGAGGGAAUUUCCGGUGGAGCGGUGAAAUGCGUAGAGAUCGGAAAGAACACCGGUGGCGAAGGCGGCAUUCUGGACUAUUUCUGACACUGAUGAACGAAAGCCAGGGGAGCAAACGGG